CUUAUCUUCAUGUGCAGAUGUGCCUAAAAUGAUUCUGAGUUGAAAAAUCCAAUGCAUUAUGAUAGCCAAAGAAAAAACAGUUAGAAACCCUUUCAGUAACCCAUGCUAAUGUUAGUCACGAGGUCUUCAGUUAAUCCAGUUAGGCCCACUGCCUCUUGCUUUAGUAAAACUGAAAACACCACACCAAUCUCAGUAUGUGCUAGAUAAAAGGUUUCCUUCUCUUCUCUAAGCUAAAUAAUCUUUAAUUUUAACCUUUCAUUUAUUAUUAGAAUUUCCUCUCUAUUUUUAGGUUCUC
rnacentral:lncRNA from 1 species